ACACUCACCGAGAGGGUCCGUGGCUUCAUUCUUAAAGUCAGCGAGACCAAGAACCCACCAAUUUCGGACACAACUUCUCCUUGAGCUAGGUGGACAUAGUGACUCAUUUGUAAGAAAUAAAAUAUAGCAAAAUAAUGAGCUGUCACUUCUCAGACUCUAAUUUCCAUCCUUCUUCCCUCUUCCAUUUCCUCCCUGGCUCUGAGCAAAGCCAGCUGCUAGGCUGUGAGCUUUCCUAUGGAGAAGUACAUGUGACAAAGAACUGAGGGAAGGCUUCAAUGCAAUAGCCAGCAAAGAAAUGAAUUAUGUCAACAACAACAUGAACGAGCUUGGAACAAGAACCUGUCUCCAUUGAACCUUCAAAUGAGAGUGCAGCCCUGGCUGCCAUUUUGACUGCAGCCUUUUGAGAGGCUUUGAGAGAGAGAGAUUUCAGCUAAGCUGCUCCCAGAUUCCUGAUCCAGAAACUAAGUGAAGCAUUUGAAGAGAAGAUAUAGGAUCCUCUCAAGCGUCUGUUAAUGUUGUUUUUAUCACUGGCAUCAAUUUUUAAUGUCUUGAGUUAUUUAACUUAGACAUUUCAAUGAUGAACAUUGUUAUGGAGGCUGAAUUGUGUCCCCUCUAAAAUUCAUAUGUUGAUAUUUUAUCCCCUAAUACUCAUAAUGUAAUGGUAUUUGGAAAUAGGGACUUGAACGAAGUAAUUAAGAUAAAAUGAGAUUAUAUGAGUGGGCAUUUAUCCAAUGUAAGUGGUCUCCUUAUAAGGAGACUAGGAGACAAACACGCACAGAGGAUCAUGUGAAUAAAGAGAGAAGAUGGUCAUCUACACACCAAGUUGAACGACCCUCAUUAGAAACCAACCCUGCAAACAACUUGAUGUUGAACUUCUAGCUUUCAGACCUGUGAGAAAAUAAAUUGCUGUUGUUUAAAUUA